rnacentral:tRNA from 1 species
GGUGAGAUGGCCGAGUGGUUGAAGGCGCAUGCCUGGAAAGCAUGUAUAUGGAAGCAUAUCAGGGGUUCGAAUCCCCUUCUCACCG